rnacentral:rRNA from 1 species
GACGAACGCUGGCGGCGUGCCUAAUACAUGCAAGUAGGACGCAGUUGCGAACGGGUGAGUAACGCGUAGGUAACUACCUAUUAGAGGGGGAUAACUAUUGGAAACGAUAGCUAAUACCGCAUACUAGUAGAUGGACCUGCGUUGUAUUAGCUAGUAGGUAGGGUAAUUGCCUACCUAGGCAACGAUACAUAGCCGACCUGAGGAGGUGAUCGGCCCAAAUGGGACAGGAGACCGGCCCAGAAGCCUACGGGAGGCAGCAGGAGGGAAUCUUCGGCAAUGGGGGGAACCCUGGCCCCGCAACGCCGCGGGAGUGGAGAAGGUGUUCGGAGCGUAAAGAUAUGUUGUUAAGGAAGCGGUACUUAACCAGAAAGGGACGGCUAACUACGUGCCAGCAGCCGCGGUAAUUC